rnacentral:rRNA from 1 species
AUUGAACGCUGGCGGCAGGCCUAACACAUGCAAGUCGAACGGUAACAGGAAGAAGCUUGCUUCUUUGCUGACGAGUGGCGGACGGGUGAGUAAUGUCUGGGAAACUGCCUGAUGGAGGGGGAUAACUACUGGAAACGGUAGCUAAUACCGCAUAACGUCGCAAGACCAAAGAGGGGGACCUUCGGGCCUCUUGCCAUCGGAUGUGCCCAGAUGGGAUUAGCUAGUAGGUGGGGUAACGGCUCACCUAGGCGACGAUCCCUAGCUGGUCUGAGAGGGUGACCAGCCACACUGGAACUGAGACACGGUCCAGACUCCUACGGGAGGCAGCAGUGGGGAAUAUUGCACAAUGGGCGCAAGCCUGAUGCAGCCAUGCCGCGUGUAUGAAGAAGGCCUUCGGGUUGUAAAGUACUUUCAGCGGGGAGGAAGGGAGUAAAGUUAAUACCUUUGCUCAUUGACGUUACCCGCAGAAGAAGCACCGGCUAACUCCGUG